rnacentral:rRNA from 1 species
CGUGUAGGCGGGACAGUCAGUCAUUUGUGAAAUCUCUCGGCUUAACCGGGAAUCUGCAAGUGAUACUACUGUCCUUGAGUUCGGAAGAGGGAAGUGGAAUUCCUGGUGUAGCGGUGAAAUGCGUAGAUAUCAGGAAGAACACCAGUAGCGAAGGCGGCUUCCUGGUCCGUUACUGACGCUGAGACGCGAAAGCGUGGGGAGCAAACA